GGCAUUGCAGGGUCCUGCAUGGAAUCCUUUCUUCUCCUUGGCCAAUGGAAUUUGACUCUGUCCUCACUCUCUACACAGCCAGUGAGGCCUGCAAACAGCUGCUUCAUAGCGCUCCUCCAUGCAGGCUUGUGCCCUGGGUGCCCAGUCUUACCUAGGAAAGCACUGGCACCUAGGAUCCACAGGCUUCCAUGGGUGAAGAAAAUAAGAAUAAGACAUGGGGUCAUUCACAGGUCACUGACAGCUUACAGAUUUGAACCUAUGCAGCUGAGGUCUCACUGCCUAUUCAGGCCAAGGCUGGGAGUGUUAAAAUUUUCCAGCUAAGGCAGGAGACUUGAACCCUUCCCAGCAGGCAGGCUGAGCUGGUCCAGAACUAGCGUCCACUGAGCCUUUUAUUGGGUGACCCUUUUGUGGAUUAGAUGCUUGGCCAGAAGCCUCCGUCCAGUGGUGGGACUUGGAUGCUCAGAGAACAUGUGGGCCAGCAGCCACCAUCCUAGCGAAUAACUAUGUCUGUUUCUGCAGAGAAACGGUUCCUACGCCGCUCCCGCUCUGGGGAUAUCCUAGCCAAGAACCCAGUGGUGCGCUCCAAAAGCUACAAUACUCCCCUGCUCAAUCCUGUGGCUGAGCAUGAGGCAGAAGGCACAGCGUCCGGUGGCACAAGCAUCCGCAGACACUCAGUCUCCGAGAUGACAUCUUGUCCUGAGCCCCAGGGCUUUGUGGACACGCCUGACCAGGGCCCUUCGGGGACCUUCAGGUCUUCCCCAUCACCCCACUCAGGGCCUUGCCCCAGCAGACUAUACCCCCCUGCCCAUUCCCCCGAACAGGGCCCAGACCAUGGCUCCCCACCCACCUCCAGCCCUGAGACACUCGUGGACCAGAUCCUGGAGUCCGUGGACUCAGACUCCGAAGGGAUAUUCAUUGACUUUGGGCGGGGUAGUCGCUCCAGUGUGUCUGACUUUGAGGCAGCAGGCGGCCGGCCGAGUGUUGUGUGAUGGCCUGAGGUUAGUUCAUGUUUUUACUGCCCCUGUGUGUUUGCGUGUCUGUGUAUGUGUGUGUGAGAGACUUGUUACUCUUUCCAAACCUUGCCGGCCCCCUGUCUGUCACUGCCUCAAGUCACUUUGUACUCCCAAUCUGUUGGAAAACCCACCCACCCAGAUGCAUACUCAACCACCUGGAGGAAUGGGCCACCAUGUGCCCUCCCACCUGCCCCACUCUCGGUGCCCACAACUUACCCAGGAAAAUGUGAACCAGUGGGCUCUGCCUACGCCAGCCCAGCCUGGCCUUCAUAGUGACGGGACUCAAGCCACAGACAGACCUGCCUGCCUGCCUCCCUCUGCCCUCCGUGGCCACAAAACAGGAAGGCAUGAAAUAAAGUUAGAGCUCCAGGCUCCAGUCUGCCCCCUGGUGUCCUGGGA
rnacentral:lncRNA from 1 species